rnacentral:rRNA from 1 species
GAGUUUGAUCGUGGCUCAGGAUGAACGCUGGCGGCGUGCUUAACACAUGCAAGUCGAACGGGAAACAUUUUAUUGAAGCUUCGGCAGAUUUAGUUUGUUUCUAGUGGCGGACGGGUGAGUAACGCGUGGGUAACCUGCCUCAUACAGGGGGAUAACAGUUAGAAAUGGCUGCUAAUACCGCAUAAGCGCACGGUACUGCAUGGUACAGUGUGAAAAACUCCGGUGGUAUGAGAUGGACCCGCGUUGGAUUAGCUAGUUGGCAGGGUAACGGCCUACCUAGGCGACGAUCCAUAGCCGGCCUGAGAGGGUGGACGGCCACAUUGGGACUGAGACACGGCCCAGACUCC